GACGAACGCUGGCGGCGUGGAUUAGGCAUGCAAGUCGAACGGUAUCAUCCUUUCGGGGGUGAGAGAGUGGCGAACUGGUGAGUAACACGUAGGUUAUCUACCCUCAAGACGGGGACAACCCAGGGAAACUUGGGCUAAUACCGGAUGUGAGCAACUUUUAGUUGUUUGAAAGGUGGCGUAAGCUGUCGCUUGGGGAUGAGCCUGCGUCCUAUUAGUUAGUUGGUGAGGUAACGGCUCACCUAGGCAAUGAUAGGUAGGCGGCCUUAACGGGUGGUCGCCCACACUGGGAUUGAGAUACGGCCCAGACUCCUACGGGAGGCAGCAGUCGAGAAUAGUCUACAAUGGUCGGAAGACUGAUAGUGCGACGCCGCGUGAACGAUGAAUCCCUUCGGGGUUAAAGUUCUUUUAUAUGUGAGCAGUGCUUCUUAUAUUAACAGUAUGGGGAAGAGAUAUUAGCAUAUGAAUAAGCAACGGCUAACUCCGUAGCCAGCAGCCGCGGUAAUA
rnacentral:rRNA from 1 species